CUCCUGUUUUAUUCAGAAGUGCUUUUAUUUAAACACAAAGAGGAUUUUCGUGGACACCGGGUAAGGUGGAGCAACAGUGGGAGUCCAGCCUGAAGGGAGCGGGAAGCGGGACCAUCUAUCAGAGCGUGAGGACUUGAGCCUCUGCACUUUAGAUGUCGAAAUGCAUCGUGAUUCCUGUCCGUUGGACUGUAAGGUUUAUGUAGGUAAUCUUGGAAACAAUGGCAACAAGACUGAAUUAGAACGGGCUUUUGGCCACUAUGGACCACUCCGAAGUGUGUGGGUUGCUAGAAACCCUCCCGGCUUUGCUUUUGUUGAAUUUGAAGAUCCUCGAGACGCAGCUGAUGCUGUCCGAGAGCUGGAUGGAAGGACACUGUGUGGCUGCCGGGUGAGAGUGGAACUGUCCAACGGUGAAAAAAGAAGUAGAAAUCGUGGCCCACCUCCCUCUUGGGGUCGUCACCCCCGAGAUGAUUAUCGUAGGAGGAGUCCUCCACCUCGGCAGAUCUCCAAGGAGGAGAAGCUUCUCUCGCAGCCGGAGCAGGUCCCUUUCCAGAGACAGGAGAAGAGAGAGAUCACUGUCUAAGGAGAGAAAUCACAAGCCCUCCCGAUCCUUGUCUAGGCCUCGAAGCCGAUCUAGGUCAAAUGAAAGGAAAUAGAAGACCAGUUUGCAAGAAAAGUGGUGUACAGGAGACAACUUCAUUUGACAGGAGGAUGUACAGAAAUUUCAAGUUUUAUUUGAGACUUCCUAAACUUGGUGCAUUUUUAAGAUGUUUUAGUUGUUCAAAUUUGUUUGUCUCUUGGAACAGUGACACAAAAAGUAUAAUUCUCUAUGGUUUUGAAAUGGAUCAUACGAGGCAUGUAAUACCAAGAAUUGUUACUUUACAAUGUUCCCUUAAGCAAAAUUGAAUUUGCUUUGAAUUUUAGUUUUUCAUAGACUGAUAAUAAACCUCUAAAUCCUGCCCACCUAAAGUGUGAUUUAUUUUUUUUAUACAUAGAAACAAAACUGGCAAAUUGAAUGAAAAUUUACUUUUUCCCCCGUG